rnacentral:rRNA from 1 species
AGGGUGUAAACGCUGCAGACUUGGUGUUGGAGGCCCUUUGGGGGCAUUCAGUGCCGGAGAGAAGUUGUUAAGUCUGCUACUUGGGGAGUACGUCCGCAAGGAUGAAACUUAAAGGAAUUGGCGGGGGAGCACCGCAACGGGAGGAGCGUGCGGUUUAAUUGGAUCCAACACCGUAAAACUCACCAGGGAAGACUGUUACAUGAAGGCCGAGAUGAAGACUCUGCUAGAUUUUCAGAGAGGUGGUGCAUGGCGUCAGUGACU